GGGCUUCGCUCGGCCCGGGCUCCAGGAGCAGAGCUCGGCCGGCUGUGCGUCAGGCUCUGCCCGCCCGCGCCUCCCCGUCUUCUGGGCUUUAACUCUGGGCACCGCAGCACUGGGGCUCCUGCCCUGGUUUGCACUAAGGUCCAAAGAGGAGAUGGGUUCAUUGCUCUCAUGGAACUGGUGGUCCCAUAGCUGUUCCAGUUGGUGCAGUGUUUUUCUGAUGCCUUGAUCUGGAUCCUGCAACCUGAACAGGAGCUGGAUCGUCUGAGGUUAUAACAAGAACUAGAGUAUCUGAGAAAAAGAAAGGACUAAAAAGGUAGUUGCCAUCCAGAAUAGAAAAGAGAAGACAUGUGUAGGAAGGAAGUUGUGAAGCACUGUGAUGCAGUAUCACUAAAAACUCACUUGUCUUUCUGGAAAAGUUUGAGCAAAAAGCCUGUUUCUCAUGGAUUGAUUGUAACUAACUGUAACUAAUUAAUUAAUUAAAGUGCUACACCCAGUGAGAUACUGUCCUGUUCCAAUUUUCCACUGUUUUUCUAUUAUUCAAACAUUAAAUUAAAUAUACUAAAACUGGAAACAGUCAGGUAUUAGUGAAUGAAUGGAUGAGGAAUCUAUGAUAUGUCCAUACAGUAGAGUACUAUUUAGCAAUCAAAAGAUUGUUUGUAUUUUAAUAACAAGGCAAAAGCCCCAAAAUAAUUCUGAUAAAUAAAAGAGAAACAAAAAUGCAGUCAUAUUUUAUGAUUCAAUCAUAUAAAAAUUCUAUGAAAUGCAAAGAAAUCUAUUAUAAAUAAAUACAUCAUUAUUUGUCGGGGGCAGUAUAAAAGAAAAGGGCUUAUCACAGGACACAAGGAAACUGUUGGAAGUGAUAUGUGAGCUUAGUAUCUUAAUCCAUUUUAUGAUUUUUAAAGCAUUUAAUAGGUGCAAGCUUGUUACACUGAACAUUUUAAACACUUUUAUUAUUUAUCAAAUGCACCUUUAAUAAAGGUUAGUUGAAAGAAAUGCAUUUAAUUAUCUUGAAAUAAUGGAAAAUUUUAACAGAUUAAUAAUGAGGAAGGGGAUUGAAUCAGUAAUACUAAAAUCACCAAUGAGAGAAAAGCUGAUGACUUCUCUGGUGAAUUCUGACAAACUUUAAAGAAUUAAUACCAGUCCUUGAAUUCUUACAAGAAAGUGAAAAGGGCUGAGUACUUCUAAAUUUUCAGAUAUGAAGACAGAAAUGCAUGCUACAAAGAAAAUUAGAGGGAUGAACACAGCUACAAAAAUCCUAAACAAAGUACAACAAGCAAGCUGACUCCAAUGGCUUAUCAUUGAAUUAAAAGGCCAAGCAUGGUGGUCACACUUGUACUUCCAACACUCAAGACUCUGAGGCCGAAUGAUUGCACUAAGUUUGAAUCCAGCCUGGGUUAUAAAAUGAGUUCAAAGCCAGCCUGAACAACAUAUCAAGACUCUAUCUUGAACAAAACAAAAACUCCCUGCCUCAGCACAUUAGAAGAAAUCAUGUUCAAGUGAAAUUUAUCCCAGGGAUGCAAGGAUGGCUCCACAUAUUCAAAUGGACAAACAUGAUAUAUCACAUUGACAAAUGAAGGAUAAAAAAUAUCUGAUUAACUCAUUUCAUGCAGAAAGCAUUCAACAAAAUUCUUUUUUUAUCAUGAGAAUUCUCAAAAAAUUAGCUACAGAAUGUACCUCAAUACAGUAAAGUCCAUAUACCAUAAGUGUACAGCUAACAUUACGUACAACAAUGAAAAUCACAAGGCUUUUCUUCCAAGUUCAGAACCAAGACAAAGAAUUCUACUUUCACCACUUCCAUUCAACAUAGGACUAGAAGUCCUAGCCAGAGUAAUUAGACAUAAAAAUAAAUAGGUGGGAACCAAAUCAGAAAGAAAGAAGUUAAAUAGUCUCCGUUUGCAAAUGACAUAAUGUUUGUUUUAAAAUCUUAAAUCUUAAAAGUACUAAAUGAAUCCAGAAAAGCAACUGAACAUAAAAUCAAUACAAAUAAAUUAGUGGCAUUUUAAACACUAACAAGAACCUACUAAAAAAGAUUAAGAAACCCACAAACUGGGAAAAGAUUUUAGUGAACUCUCUCUCAGACAAGGGACUCUUGUCUAAAACAUAUAAAGAAUUAAAAAAAAAACUCAGACCUCCAAAAUUCAAAGAUCCAAUCCAAAAAUGGGCAUCUGAGAUGAAUAUGCAAUUCUCAGAUGAAGAAAUGCAAAUGGCAAAUAAAUACAUGAAAAAAUGCUCAUCAUUAUUGGUCAUUAGAGAAAUGCAAAUUAAAACCACACUGAGAUACCAUCUCACUCCUGAAAGAAUGGCCAGGAUCAAGAAAACCAACAACAAAUGCUGGAGAGGCUGUGGGGAAAAAGGAACUCUCCUGCACUGUUGGUGGGAGUGUAGACUGGUAAAGCCUUUGUGGAGAUCUGUCUGGAGAUUUCUCAAAAAGUUGGGAUUGGAAAUCCCAUUUAUUCCAGCUAUUCCACUUCUAGGCAUAUUCCCAGAAGAACUGAAAGCAUCAUACCACAGUGAUAUAUGUGCACCUAUGUUUAUAGCAGCACAAUAUGUAAUCGCCAGAUCUUGGAAACAACCCAAGUGUCCAUCAACUGAGGAAUGGAUAAAAAAGUUGUGGUAUUUCUAUACAAUGGAGUAUUAUUCAGCUAUAAAGAAGGAUCACAUUGAGAUAUUUAUCAAUAAA